rnacentral:rRNA from 1 species
GAGUUGAUCCUGGCUCAGAUUGAACGCUGGCGGUUUGUUAAGCUAGAUGUGAAAGCCCUGGGCUCAACCCGGGAAUUGCAUUUAGAACUGGCAGACUAGAGUCUUGGAGAGGGGAGUGGAAUUUCUGGUGUAGCGGUGAAAUGCGUAGAUAUCAGAAGGAACAUCAGUGGCGAAGGCGACUCCCUGGCCAAAGACUGACGCUCAUGUGCGAAAGUGUGGGUAGCGAACAGGAUUAGAUACCCUGGUAGUCCACACCGUAAACGCUGUCUACUAGCUGUUUGUGGGUUUAACCCGUGAGUAGCGUAGCUAACGCGAUAAGUAGACCGCCUGGGGAGUACGGCCGCAAGGUUAAAACUCAAAUGAAUUGACGGGGGCCCGCACAAGCGGUGGAGCAUGUGGUUUAAUUCGAUGCAACGCGAAGAACCUUACCUACUCUUGACAUACUAGAAACUUUUCAGAGAUGAAUUGGUGCCUUCGGGAAUCUAGAUACAGGUGCUGCAUGGCUGUCGUCAGCUCGUGA